UAAGGAGCAAUUAACCUUAAAACAUUGAAGCCAGGUAGAUGAGCCUAUUCCACAAGGUCUCUUGGCUCCACCCUUGUUAAGUGAACUCUGCCAGCUGUGGACCUUUGCUAUAUAGGAAGAAUGAGGAGUUGUGGGGAAUUGCCUUUCUAGGGGAACUUGAGGAGACUAUAAGAGCUAGUUACGUUGGUGGUACCUUCUCAGUACAGUAAAACCCUGGUGGUACUACUUCACUGGGAAGUACUUUGGCAGUGACUUAAGUUCAGAAGCUGGCAGGUGAGUUAUGGUAGCCUUGCAAAGCUCUGACUAUGCUUGGGAUGUUCAGAUGAGCACGUUCUUCUCAGUGUGUCUCCAGAACACACUUGAGGUUUUGUCAAAGGUUAAAGAAAUCCUAAGGAGUGUCACGCACAGAUAUGUUGAGAGGAAAGUUAUGGUAGCCUUGCAAAGCUCUGACUAUGCUUGGGACGUUCAGACAAGCAUGUUCUUCUCAGUUUGUCUCCAGAAUGCACUUGAGGUUUUGUCAAAUCUUAAAGAAAUCCUAAGGAGUGUCAUGCACAGAUGUGUUGAGAGGUCUGCCAGUAGCUGACGAAGUAGAAAAGUGUGCUUUUCUCUUUCAUUCUUGUAUAGAGUUAGAGGCAAUGGCAAUUUAAUCCGUGACUGAGGGUCUGCAAUGGUGCAAGUCUAUCCUACUACUUCAAGUUCAGUGAUGCAACCUGAGUUUACACUAAUUACCUUUCAGGGAUUGAACCAAUUUAACACUUUUGGACUAUGACAAUUCUUGGAAAACAUUUCCACAGGUUUAUUUUCUUAUGCAUUUGUUUGCUAUCUCCAUCUCAUUCAAAGCAGUCAGGACUGCUUUGCUUCUCUCUUCUCUGGAAAAGUUCUCUGCACUAGGAACUAUGGUUAGAAUCAGAAUCCUAAGCUAAGAGUAUGAUGAAAAGUGUUGCACUCCAAGUUGGAAAGUGGAGAGGGAAAUGUUUAUGUAUACAUGAGAAUUGUACUCAAACAGCUGAUUACACCUCUUCUGACACCUCAACAGAUGCUUACACCUUUUAUGGGAAAACUUUAAACCUAAGAAGCAACAGGCAUUUUUCUACGUUUCCAUUGGGGAUAGUAUGUUCUUCUGUAUUUUUGCUUCUAUACAAGCAGUUCAAACUUUUAAAGUCCCAUUGUCAGUCAUACAACUAAACAACCUUGCAUGGCAUUACAUGUUCCCCUCCAGAUAGAUCAAGCCCUGAAUGCAAGAUUAGACAAGUAAAUGAUGCCAACAUGUAAAACUAAUUUGUAAGUACUUUUUGGCGCUUUUUUAGGGACACUUUGUGGGGCUUAACUGUCCUGCAGUGAGAAGAACGUCUUCUGGUGUAAGUCUUCCUUGUAAGUCUUCCAAAGGGAAAUGAAAUUAUCCUACCCAGAUGAAGCACCAUCCAGAAGACACUUGAGUUGUUAGGGCCUGAAUUCUCACUGAAACCAAAGGCAGGGAUCUUACUGACCUGAAGAAAGAGGCUUUAAUCUCUCCUGGCUUGUUUACUCCUGAAGGAGCAUGAAAGAGACGCGUGUCCUUGUAUCUGAAGAGGAGGUGAAGGAACAGCUAGUGCAAGGAACACAAAAAUCCAUUGUGCCAGACUAAUAGGUGGUUGGCUCUGAGCUUGGAGACUGCAACAGAAUCACCUAGAUUAGACUCUGUGAUCUUGGAGGUCUCUUCCAACCUCUGACCUAACACUAACAGGUCCUCCACUAAGCCAUAUCACUGAGCUCUGUGUCUAAAUGUCUUUUAAGGACAUCCAGGGAUGGUGACUCAACCGCUUCCCUGGGCAGCCCAUUCCCAUACCUAACAACCCUUUUGGUAAAGAAGUUUUUCCUAAUGUCCAACCUAAACCUCCCCUGUUGCAACUUUAGCCCGUUCCCCUUUGUCCUCUGGCCAGGCACAUGGAAGAAUAGACCAAUCCCCACCUUGCUACAGCCUCCUUUAAUGUACCUAUAGAGAUCAAAUAUAUAGAGAGUAUAUAUAUUCUUUUUCUAUAUAUGUAUAGAAAGAAAUAUUUUGAAAUUAGAAGUUGAAACUUGUAAUUUGAAGAUGACAAGAGAAAACAAAAAUUUCAAACUUUCAGCUACAUGUAUGAAGGAGCAUUAACCAAACUUUGUUUGAAAGCAAGCAGAGGCUGGACUAAUCAAAACUGAAUACACAAUAUUACUCCUAGUUCUCAGAGGGAACAUUACACCAUGACUUGGAAUGAUGACAAAAGACUAUGUUUUGUCACUAGGAUAGUUAAUCUGAAUUUUUAGUCCUUCCUCAAAUAUCAAGCUAUUUUCUGAUAUAGAUUUUAAUUCUAACAUUGAAUGUUUGACUUUGAAAACUCAAGUUUUGUUUUCUGUAGAUUUUUUCUUUUGCAUGAAGCAAUAUAUAUUUACAUGCGCAAUAAAAAUGAGAAGUACGUCA
rnacentral:lncRNA from 1 species